rnacentral:rRNA from 1 species
UACGUAGGGGGCAAGCGUUGUCCGGAAUCAUUGGGCGUAAAGCGCGUGUAGGCGGCUUGGUAAGUCCGCUCUGAAAGCCCGGGGCUCAACCCCGGGAGGCGGGUGGAUACUGUCAAGCUCGAGUCCGGAAGAGGCGAGUGGAAUUCCUGGUGUAGCGGUGAAAUGCGCAGAUAUCAGGAGGAACACCGGUGGCGAAGGCGGGUCUCUGGGCCAAUACUGACGCUGAGGGGCGAAAGCGUGGGGAGCGAACAGG